GGGGAAUUUUGGACAAUGGGGGCAACCCUGAUCCAGCAAUGCCGCGUGAGUGAAGAAGGCCUUCGGGUUGUAAAGCUCUUUUGUCAGGGAAGAAACGGUGCGGGCUAAUAUCCCGCGCUAAUGACGGUACCUGAAGAAUAAGCACCGGCUAACUACGUGCCAGCAGCCGCGGUAAUACGUAGGGUGCAAGCGUUGUCCGGAUUUAUUGGGCGUAAAGAGUGUGUAGGCGGCCAGACAGGUCCGUUGUGAAAACUCGAGGCUCAACCUCGAGACGUCGAUGGAAACCGUCUGGCUAGAGUCCGGAAGAGGAGUGUGGAAUUCCUGGUGUAGCGGUGAAAUGCGCAGAUAUCAGGAAGAACACCUAUGGCGAAGGCAGCACUCUGGGACGGUACUGACGCUGAGACGCGAAAGCGUGGGGAGCGAA
rnacentral:rRNA from 1 species